GAAACGCGAUAUUUCUUGUGAAUUGCAGAAGUGAAUCAUCAGUUUUUGAACGCACAUUGCACUUUGGGGUAUCCCCCAAAGUAUACUUGUUUGAGCGUUGUUUCUCUCUUGGAAUUGCAUUUGCUUUUCUAAAAAAUCGAAUCAAAUUCGUUUGAAACUUCAUUUAUCUCAACCUCAGAUCAAGUAGGAUUACCCGCUGAACUUAA
rnacentral:misc_RNA from 1 species